rnacentral:rRNA from 1 species
GGGCGAGWKYCUGAACCRSCCNNGUAGCGUGAAGGAUGACUGCCCUAUGGGUUGUAAACUUCUUUUAUAAAGGAAUAAAGUCGGGUAUGCAUACCCGUUUGCAUGUACUUUAUGAAUAAGGAUCGGCUAACUCCGUGCCAGCAGCCGCGGUAAUACGGAGGAUCCGAGCGUUAUCCGGAUUUAUUGGGUUUAAAGGGAGCGUAGAUGGAUGUUUAAKUCAGUUGUGAAAGUUUGCGGCUCAACCGUAAAAUUGCAGUUGAUACUGGAUAUCUUGAGUGCAGUUGAGGCAGGCGGAAUUCGUGGUGUAGCGAUGAAAUGCUUAGAUAUCACGAAGAACUCC